GGGAAGUCCUCGUGUUGCACCCCUUCUUUGUGCUCGCUUCUCCAUCUUGUCAGCCCCUUUGUCUUUCUUUCUUCCUUUUCUCUCCCCCGCCUCCCCUUCCUGCCCCGCAAUCGAUAGGGCGGGGCUAGAGGCCGGAGGCCAUUAGUCUUGUUCAGAAUAUCGUUUCGCUUCAAGAAACGAAAGGUCGACACCUAAUUCCACCAAGAAUUUUGUUAUGAACAGCAAAAACCUAUUUUUUUAAAAAAAAAACCAAAUUAAGUAACAAACAAAACGAAUAAAAAUCCAACGGUUGGAUCGUACCUUACGGCCCUCUUGAGCCGCUUCGCGUCGGUGCCUGAACUGCCUGGGAGCCUCCCAUUGCUCCCCGAUCCUCCUCUUCGAAGCGCUUAUAGCAAUUGCGUGAGCAUGGACUAACGGGUGCGAUCAUACCAGCAC
rnacentral:rRNA from 1 species